GAUGAACGCUGACAGAAUGCUUAACACAUGCAAGUCUACUUGAACUUCGGUUUGGGUGGCGGACGGGUGAGUAACGCGUACAGAACUUGCCUCACAGUUAGGGACAACAUUUGGAAACGAAUGCUAAUACCUGAUAUUAUGAUUUUAGGGCAUCCUAGGAUUAUGAAAGCUAUAUGUGCUGUGAGAGAGCUUUGCGUCCCAUUAGCUAGUUGGAGAGGUAACGGCUCACCAAGGCGAUGAUGGGUAGCCGGCCUGAGAGGGUGAACGGCCACAAGGGGACUGAGACACGGCCCUUACUCCUACGGGAGGCAGCAGUGGGGAAUAUUGGACAAUGGACCAAAAGUCUGAUCCAGCAAUUCUGUGUGCACGAUGACGUUCUUCGGAAUGUAAAGUGCUUUCAGUUGGGAAGAAAAAAAUGACGGUACCAACAGAAGAAGUGACGGCUAAAUACGUG
rnacentral:rRNA from 1 species